rnacentral:precursor_RNA from 10 species
UGUGUGUGUGUGUGUGUGUGUGUGUCUGUGGUGUCGCCCGAUCCGAGUUAUGCAGUGACUGGAAUUGCUCAUAACUCAGUCAGACCACACCAUGGCCUCUAUGCAGCUCAUGACUCCUCCUC